CCAAUAGCGUAUAUUAAAGUUGUUGCAGUUAAAAAGCUCGUAGUUGAAUUUCGGGACCAUCAUGUCGGUCGUGCCUCGGUACGUACUGGCAUUGUUGGUUUCUCCCUUCUGACGAACCAUGAUGUCAUUUAUUUGGUGUUGUGGGGAAUCAGGACUGUUACUUUGAAAAAAUUAGAGUGUUUAAAGCAGGCUCACGCUUGAAUACAUUAGCAUGGAAUAAUGAAAUAGGACGUUUGAUUCUAUUUUGUUGGUUUCUAGGAUCGACGUAAUGAUUAAUAGGGAUAGUUGGGGGCAUUAGUAUUCAAUUGUCAGAGGUGAAAUUCUUGGAUUUAUUGAAGACUAACUACUGCGAAAGCAGUUGCCAAGGAUGUUUUCAUUAAUCAAGAACGAAAGUUAGGGGAUCGAAGACGAUCAGAUACCGUCGUAGUCUUAACCAUAAACUAUGCCGACUAGGGAUCGGAUGAUGUUAAUUUUUUAAUGACUCAUUCGGCGCCUUACG
rnacentral:rRNA from 1 species